rnacentral:rRNA from 1 species
CGCUUUCACUCCUACGGGAGGCAGCAGUGGGGAAUAUUGCACAAUGGGCGCAAGCCUGAUGCAGCCAUGCCGCGUGUGUGAAGAAGGCCUUCGGGUUGUAAAGCACUUUCAGCAGUGAGGAGGCGGAGUCGUUAAUAGCGGCCUCGUUUGACGUUAGCUGCAGAAGAAGCACCGGCUAACUCCGUGCCAGCAGCCGCGGUAAUACGGAGGGUGCGAGCGUUAAUCGGAAUUACUGGGCGUAAAGCGCAUGCAGGUGGUUUGUUAAGUCAGAUGUGAAAGCCCGGGGCUCAACCUCGGAAUUGCAUUUGAAACUGGCAGACUAGAGUACUGUAGAGGGGGUAGAAUUUCAGGUGUAGCGGUGAAAUGCGUAGAGAUCUGAAGGAAUACCGGUGGCGAAGGCGGCCCCCUGGACAGAUACUGACACUCAGAUGCGAAAGCGUGGGGAGCAAACAGGAUUAGAUACCCUGGUAG